GUACUACUGGACGAAGCGGAGUAAAUAAAAUUGUUGAAGCAGAGUUGGCGGAACAGAAAGAAAAAGACAGAUCCGAUACAAACAAUGGAGUCACACAAAUAUGGCAGCAGACUUGCCACCAAGUAAGGUGACAAAACAUGUGAAGGAGGGAACUCUGCCAGACAGGUGAAUGCACUAACCACCAGAAUAUUGGCAUCAUCACGAGAGCACCCCAUUGAUGCUCUGCAAGGAGAACAAGAAGAGACAA